rnacentral:tRNA from 1 species
GCCCCUGUGGUGUAGUCCGGCCAAUCAUUCUGCCUUUUCGAGGCAGGGACCUGGGUUCGAAUCCCGGCGGGGGCA